rnacentral:sRNA from 1 species
UGGAAGAAAGAUCUUAUUGGAAACUGCAUGGCGGCGUGUUCUGACUGGAUUGUGGUGUCUGUGUUAAGUUUCACAGAGGAUCUCGAUUAUAGGUUUAACAGAAGGACAGACAUGCGAUUUGCUUUGUACUAUCAAAGCUACCACAGCACUAAAAGACCAAACCGUACCAAGUAUAAUUUGCUCGUAAGUAAAC